UACAGAGGUCCCAAGCGUUGUUCGGAUUCAUUGGGCGUAAAGGGUGCGUAGGCGGCGCGGUAAGUCGGGUGUGAAAUCUCGGGGCUUAACUCCGAAACUGCAUUCGAUACUGCCGUGCUUGAGGACUGGAGAGGAGACUGGAAUUUACGGUGUAGCGGUGAAAUGCGUAGAUAUGUGGAGGAACACCGAUGGCGAAGGCAGCCCCCUGGGGUAACACUGACGCUCAUGCACGAAAGCGUGGGGAGCAAACAGG
rnacentral:rRNA from 1 species